CACCCCUCAAGCUCUGCUUGGUAUUGGCGUCCGCCCCCCGUUCCCGGGGGGUGCGCCCGAAAUUCAGUGGCGGUCCAGGUGGACUUCAAGCGCAGUAAACUUUUGGUUCGCUUUGGAAGCCUUCUGCCUGCGGCCCCGCCAGCUAAGAAACACCCCCAAUCAUUGACCUCGGAUCAGGUAGGGAUACCCGCUGAACUUAA
rnacentral:misc_RNA from 1 species